rnacentral:rRNA from 1 species
AUGUACUCCUACCAUGAAGUAAUAAGUUGUGCCCUCCUCAAAGUUUCAUCAGGAAAAGAAACACAGUCGUUUUCAAUGAUAAUUUUAAACAAUCGCAUGGAAUUGCCGCGGGUUGGGGUACGGCCCAACAAUUUGCACUCUCUGAAACUCCAGAAGGAGGACCCCCACUAUUUUUUUUUUGUCGAAGAUGAAGUUUUUUUUUUUGCAUGGAUCCUCGUAGACGAAGUUAGGCCAUGUACGGUACAAAACCUUAUUUCGGCCAUGUUGGCACACACCCUCACCAACGGGCCGGCCCACUUAUGA